GGGUGGAUCUCCACUCCAGAUUUUCCAGCUGUCCCUGCCCCCCCACCGCUCGGAGCAGGAUGCCGAGAUGGCUGGUGAUGCAGAAGGAGGAUCACCGGCUCACAGGGACCGAGGUGCCAGACCACGGGUUCUGGGACCACGGUGGUUCCCUCCUUCUCCUCUGAGAACACAAAAAGGCAGACGGACCCACAUGCCUAUGAGGAAAUGUCCAGCUGCCCUCUAAGGCUCGGGACGUCCAGUUGCCACCACGUGGGGUGAACCAGGAGGAGAAAUGGCUCAGCCCUUCCCCCCGCACACCAUCCUGCUGCCUCCCAUGCUGGGGCCGCUUCACCUGGUUCUCCAGCGGACCCUGUGGGCUUCGGGAAUGUCCAGGCCAUGAUCUGAGGCGUUGUUCUCUAUGGCCAGCCCCAAGACAGGACGAUGGAGUGGAACGAAUCCUAAACUCUUCUCGUGAGGGUCAUGCCCGGGAAGGCAAAUACGGGGCCUUUGGCUUCAGUUCCUCUGGCAGCUGGUUGCUGGAACCUGGAUCCUCUGCUUUCAAACUGGGGAGAGCAUCUCAGAAAAUCAAGUUUUCUGGGAAUGGCAACAGACAAGACUCCUGAGGCUUUGCGGGGUCUAGAACAGGGGCUGGCCAGCGUUUUCGGCCGAGGGUCAGGUAGGAAAUGUUUCAGGCUUUGUGGGCCCUUCUGUCCUGUGGAACAUAAACCUUUGUGUGGAUUUACAGUCCCGUCGAAACUACAGACACCGUUCGUAGCUUGGGAUCCCUACGAAGCUGGACCACAGGCUGACGCGGCCUGUCGCUUGCCAACCCCAGCCCUGUGAGGACACCCUCCACUCGAGAGUCCCGGGAUAUGAGGGGAGGCGCCGCGGGCGUCUGAAUGCCUCAGUUCUGAGGGGAGCCGGGAGCCGAGAGAGCGGAUCCAGCGCGACGACUCGGGCGGCAGUUUCUGGGGCGCAGAACGGACAAGGGAAGGGAGAGGAAGCACGCAGCGUCCGGAGCACAGUGAGGCUCCGGCCAGCGCAGGGAGCGAGGCACAGUCUCUCUCUCCUAAGCCGGCAGACACGCGUCCUGCUGUGUGGCGACUUGAGUGGGGGCUUGAGUGGGGAUUCGUUCCCUUCUGUGGCCGCCGCUGCUGUCCUCUUUCAACCAUGACCCGUCACGGCCCUUCACUCACCUCCCUGCCGCUCUCCGGCUGGUUCAUGCUCUUUCCAUCCGUUUCAGGGUCAAAGAGAGAGGGGGAGGCCGGCGGGAGGGAAGGAGUCAUUGCCGCGGGGCGUCCGAAGGCAGCAGGAG